AUCCUUUUGUAGUUCAUAAGCGUGAUGAUUGGGUUUUCACGUGCAUGCAUGAGGUGUGCCUCCCUCAAACCUUGUUAUAACGUCGGCACAUUACUCGUCUGAUA